rnacentral:tRNA from 2 species
GGGCGAUUAGCUCAGACUGGCUAGAGCGCCUGCUCGACACGCAGGAGGUCACUGGUUCAAGUCCAGUAUCGCCCACCA